AACGAACGCUGGCGGCAUGCCUAACACAUGCAAGUCGAACGAGAUCUUCGGGUCUAGUGGCGCACGGGUGCGUAACGCGUGGGAAUCUGCCCUUUGGUUCGGAAUAACAGUUGGAAACGACCGCUAAUACCGGAUGAUGACGAAAGUCCAAAGAUUUAUCGCCAGAGGAUGAGCCCGCGUAGGAUUAGCUAGUUGGUGUGGUAAAGGCGCACCAAGGCGACGAUCCUUAGCUGGUCUGAGAGGAUGAUCAGCCACACUGGGACUGAGACACGGCCCAGACUCCUACGGGGGGCAGCAGUGGGGAAUAUUGGACAAUGGGCGAAAGCCUGAUCCAGCAAUGCCGCGUGAGUGAUGAAGGCCUUAGGGUUGUAAAGCUCUUUUACCCGGGAUGAUAAUGACAGUACCGGGAGAGUAAGCUCCGGCUAACUCCGUGCCAGCCGCCGCCGUAA
rnacentral:rRNA from 1 species